GAUGAACGCUGGCGGCGUGCCUAAUACAUGCAAGUCGAGCGAACAGACGAGGAGCUUGCUCCUCUGACGUUAGCGGCGGACGGGUGAGUAACACGUGGAUAACCUACCUAUAAGACUGGGAUAACUUCGGGAAACCGGAGCUAAUACCGGAUAACAUGUUGAACCGCAUGGUUCAACAGUGAAAGACGGUUUUGCUGUCACUUAUAGAUGGAUCCGCGUCGCAUUAGCUAGUUGGUAAGGUAACGGCUUACCAAGGCAACGAUGCGUAGCCGCCCUGAGAGGGUGAUCGGCCACACUGGAACUGAGACACGGUCCAGACUCCUACGGGAGGCAGCAGUAGGGAAUCUUCCGCAAUGGGCGAAAGCCUGACGGAGCAACGCCGCGUGAGUGAAGAAGGUCUUCGGAUCGUAAAACUCUGUUAUUAGGGAAGAACAAAUGUGUAAGUAACUAUGCACGUCUUGACGGUACCUAAUCAGAAAGCCACGGCUAACUACGUG
rnacentral:rRNA from 1 species